rnacentral:rRNA from 1 species
UACGGAGGGUGCAAACGUUGCUCGGAAUCAUUGGGCGUAAAGCGCACGUAGGCGGCGCGUUAAGUCGGGUGUGAAAGCCCUGGGCUCAACCCAGGAAGUGCAUUCGAAACUGGCGCGCUUGAAUAUGGAAGAGGGUCGCGGAAUUCCCGGUGUAGAGGUGAAAUUCGUAGAUAUCGGGAGGAACACCAGUGGCGAAGGCGGCGACCUGGGCCAAUAUUGGACGCUGAGGUGCGAAAGCGUGGGGAGCAAACAGGAUUGAGAACCCGAGGU